rnacentral:rRNA from 1 species
GACGAACGCUGGCGGCAGGCCUAACACAUGCAAGUCGAACGAGUGGCGGACGGGUGAGUAAUGUCUGGGAAACUGCCUGAUGGAGGGGGAUAACUACUGGAAACGGUAGCUAAUACCGCAUACCAUCAGCUCUGCCCCUAUGGGCUUAGCUUGUAGGUGGGGUAACGGCUCACCUAGGCGACGAUCCCUUGCUGGUCGGGGAGGAUGACCAGCCACGCUGGAACGUAGACACGGUCCAGACUCCUACGGGAGGCAGCAGUGGGGAAUAUUGCACAAUGGGCGCAAGCCUGAUGCAGCCAUGCCGCGUGUAUGAAGAAGGCCUUCGGGUUGUAAAGUACUUUCAGCGGGGAGGCGUUACCCGAAGAAGAAGCACCGGCUAACUCCGUGCCAGCAGCCGCGGUAAUAG